AUUGAACGCUGGCGGCAUGCCUUACACAUGCAAGUCGAACGGCAGCGCGGACUUCGGUCUGGCGGCGAGUGGCGAACGGGUGAGUAAUAUAUCGGAACGUACCCAGGAGUGGGGGAUAACGUAGCGAAAGUUACGCUAAUACCGCAUACGACCUAAGGGUGAAAGUGGGGGAUCGCAAGACCUCAUGCUCAUGGAGCGGCCGAUAUCUGAUUAGCUAGUUGGUGGGGUAAAGGCCCACCAAGGCAACGAUCAGUAGCUGGUCUGAGAGGA
rnacentral:rRNA from 1 species